UACCCUUCUGUGAACCUACCUAUCGUUGCUUCGGCGGACUCGCCCCAGCCCGGACGCGGACUGGACCAGCGGCCCGCCGGGGACCUCAAACUCUUGUAUUCCAGCAUCUUCUGAAUACGCCGCAAGGCAAAACAAAUGAAUCAAAACUUUCAACAACGGAUCUCUUGGCUCUGGCAUCGAUGAAGAACGCAGCGAAACGCGAUAAGUAAUGUGAAUUGCAGAAUCCAGUGAAUCAUCGAAUCUUUGAACGCACAUUGCGCCCGCCAGCAUUCUGGCGGGCAUGCCUGUUCGAGCGUCAUUUCAACCCUCGACCUCCCCUUGGGGGGGUCGGCGUUGGGGACCGGCAGCACACCGCCGGCCCUGAAAUGGAGUGGCGGCCCGUCCGCGGCGACCUCUGCGCAGUAAUACAGCUCGCACCGGAACCCCGACGCGGCCACGCCGUAAAACACCCAACUUCUGAACGUUGACCUCGAAUCAGGUAGGACUACCCGCUGAACUUAAGCAUAUCAAUA
rnacentral:rRNA from 1 species